AAAACACGAAAGUCGUCGUAGAGAACGAAAAGACCUUUCUGAAAAGGUAUGGCUCAUCAAAAUCGGAGUUAUAACGAAUCGGGAAUUAAAUAAAACGUCCGCUGAUUUAGAACUCAAAGAAUAAACAGAUCUGAUUAAGUUUUUCUUCUUCUUUUUUUUACCAUUUUAAAUUUUGCAAAAUUUAAAAAUAUAUAGGUGUUUUCUAAAAAUUUGCUUAGUGCCCCAUAAAGUUCGAAUCCUAGAUCGGUCCCGGUGUAGAUGGAAUAUUCAUGUAUAUAUCACCAAUAUGAGCAGUUUUGCUAGCUAGAGAGUAACAAAAGCAUUACUCAAUGCUGUGGCAUAGGUAUGAAAUCUCAGCGCUUUCGGUGGCUCUUAUCCCUUUUAUCUUUCAUGAAGGGAGCAAAAAGAUCAGCAAAACUAACGUUUACUAUUUUUGUGAUGGAUUUGCUACUAGUUGGGAUCGUAGCAGCAGCAGCAGGAGCAGGAGGAGAAGCUGCUUACAUAGGACUCAGAGGAAACAAAGCUGCAAAAUGGCCCAAGAUCUGCACUGUCUAUGAUACCUUUUGUCUCCAUGUCGGAUUCUCUUGUCUCAUUUCAAGCUUUGCAGCCAUGACACUAAUAUCGCUUAUUGUUCUCUAUGUUUUUACCCUUUUACCUUGAUCAGAACUACUGAUAUACUUCUAAACCAGCCAGGUGGCCUGUUUCUUUAUGCUAUAUGCCGUGUAUCUUUACAUCAUGUUGCUUUUCCUUUAUUUUUUAACAUUUUAGCCUUCAGUUAUGUUCUAAUGAUAUUUUGAUUUGAGGUGGUUGUGUGAAAGUUCUUGUACAACUCAUUUUAUUCCAUAAAUAACUUGAAUAAUAUA